GAGUAGGAGACGUUUAUGUUUAUCGACAGUUAAAUAAACACAGAUAAUACGGCGAAAGACAAGUGGAACGAGCUCUAAGAAUGACAAAUUAUAUCUAAUUCAGUUUUAUAUGUAAAUAAAUGAAAAGUAACUUUUUUAAAUUACUUGUAAUAGAAUAAUUAGAAAGAUUUCCGCAUAAAUGGGCGACUGUCUACGGCGAGAGGUUCUACGAGUGUUUAAAAAACUUCAUAGAACAAGAUUGAAGACAUUUGAAGGUGAUGAGCAUGCAUUGCAAGUUGUAAGAAAGAAGAUAAAUGACGAAUACAGGAAAUAUAAAAAUGUUACAAACCAGGCGGCAAUUGAAGAGUUGAAUAAGUUUGCGCAGGAAGUCGAAUAUGAGGUGCGAACGACUGUUAUUCAGGUGGUUGAAACGGCACCUGGAAAAGUAGCACUGCGACUCACUCCAGAUGUCCUAGUGGAUAAUGUAUUGUACAAGGAUCAGGAAAAUAACAACACAGGCAAAGAAAACAGAGCUCAAACUUGUGAAAAAUAUACAACAUUGAAAAAUACGAAGCAAUAAUUUCUUGAGACUAUGAAAAGUAUUAAGAGUUUAAAAAUGGCUUACAAUUACAUGUGGAUUGCUGUUCCUACAAGAGUCCGAUUGAAUGUAUUCUAAAUGAACUAUGCACUUCCCUCUUCUAAUCUCAUCCUGGAACAUGUGGAAAUUGCUUCACAUAUUUUUUCUAUGGUUGUAACACCGUGAUUAUGCGCACCUUAUCUUUCUUAAAGAUUUUACAUAAUUAUUUGUGUAUACAAGGAAGGAGAAUUAUGGAAUAGAAAUUAUUACAAUUUCUAUUUGAUUUUUACUUGAAAAUAUAGUUUGAAGAGCACACAAGCUGGCGAGGAAAAGGACUUAAUACAUGUAAAGGGUCUUUGGAGCAAACCUGAGGAGAUACAGUCAAUGAAAAUAGUAUUCUUUUGUUAAUUGGUUACAAUAAUAUGAAAUUAAUUGCCAUUUUUAGGAUUUCCGAUUUUGCAAAAUUUAUUUCGAUUUGAUCAAAAUAAAAAAAUAUUUCCUGAAAAGCUAUUUAAAGUGGAUCAACAGUAAUUCAAUAAAAUUCACUAAAUGUAAUAAACGCUAAUGGAGUA